CAGCAGCCGCGGUAAAACGAGGGGGGCAAGCGUUGUUCGGAAUUAUUGGGCGUAAAGGGUGCGUAGGCGGUUCAGCAAGUCUCGUGUGAAGUCUCCGGGCUCAACCCGAAGUCUGCACGGGAAACUACUGGGCUUGAGUAAUGGAGAGGUGAGUGGAAUUUCCGGUGUAGCGGUGAAAUGCGUAGAUAUCGGAAGGAACACCUGUGGCGAAAGCGGCUCACUGGACAUUUACUGACGCUGAUGCACGAAAGCUAGGGGAGCAAACAGGAUUAGAUACCCCCGUAGUCCCUGUCUCUUAUAC
rnacentral:rRNA from 1 species